AUUGAACGCUAGCGGGAUGCCUUACACAUGCAAGUCGAACGGAGUGGCGAACGGGUGAGUAAUGUAUCGGUACGUGCCCAGUAGCGGGGGAUAACUACGCGAAAGAGUAGCUAAUAUCGCAUCCUAUUGGAGCGGCCGAUUUCGGAUUGGCUAGGUGGUGUGGUAACGGCUCACCAAGGCGACGAUCCCUAGCGGGUUUGCGAGGACGACCGGCCCACAUGGAACUGAGACACGGCCCAGACGCCGACGGGAGGCAGCAGUGGGGAAUUUUUGACAAUGGGGGAAACCCUGAUCCAGCCAUCCCGCGUGUGCGAUGAAGGCCUUCGGGUUGUAAAGCACUUUUGGCAGGAAAGCGGUACCUGCAGAAUAAGCACCGGCUAACUACGUGCCAGCAGCCGCGGUAAUAC
rnacentral:rRNA from 1 species